rnacentral:rRNA from 1 species
AGCGAACGCUGGCGGCAGGCCUAACACAUGCAAGUCGAACGGAUCCUUCGGGAUUAGUGGCGGACGGGUGAGUAACACGUGGGAACGUGCCCUUUGGUUCGGAACAACUCAGGGAAACUUGAGCUAAUACCGGAUGUGCCCUUCGGGGGAAAGAUUUAUCGCCAUUGGAGCGGCCCGCGUCUGAUUAGCUAGUUGGUGAGGUAAAGGCUCACCAAGGCGACGAUCAGUAGCUGGUCUGAGAGGAUGAUCAGCCACAUUGGGACUGAGACACGGCCCAAACGCCUACGGGAGGCAGCAGUGGGGAAUCUUGCGCAAGGGGCGAAAGCCUGACGCAGCCAUGCCGCGUGAAUGAUGAAGGUCUUAGGAUUGUAAAAUUCUUUCACCGGGGACGAUAAUGACGGUACCCGGAGAAGAAGCCCCGGCUAACUUCGUGCCAGCAGCCGCCGUAAUAC